rnacentral:misc_RNA from 1 species
UCCGAGUUGACCCCGGCGGCCUCCCAUGAGUCCCCACCAUCACGUGUUGGCAACUAGGGGCGAGGGUUGCGCUCGUUGCGGGACUUAACCCAACAUCUCACGACACGAGCUGACGACAGCCAUGCAGCACCUGUGAUCCUGCCCCGAAGGGAAGGUGUGUUUCCACACCGGUCAGGAACAUGUCAAGCCCAGGUAAGGUUCUUCGCGUUGCGUCGAAUUAAACCACAUGCUCCGCUGCUUGUGCGGGCCCCCGUCAAUUCUUUUGAGUUUUAGCCUUGCGGCCGUACUCCCCAGGCGGAACACUUAACGCGUUGGCUGCGGCACAGGGGGAUUCGACUCCCCCCACACCUAGUGUUCAUCGUUUACGGCUAGGACUAC